UGGGGAAUAUUGCACAAUGGGGGAAACCCUGAUGCAGCAACGCCGCGUGAAGGAAGAAGGUUUUCGGAUCGUAAACUUCUAUCAGCAGGGAAGAAAAUGACAGUACCUGACUAAGAAGCCCCGGCUAACUACGUGCCAGCAGCCGCGGUAAUACGUAGGGGGCAAGCGUUAUCCGGAAUUACUGGGUGUAAAGGGUGCGUAGGCGGUGAGGCAAGUCAGAUGUGAAAGCCCUAGGCUCAACUUAGGGACUGCAUUUGAAACUGCUUUACUAGAGUGCAGGAGAGGAAAGUGGAAUUCCUAGUGUAGCGGUGAAAUGCGUAGAUAUUAGGAGGAACACCAGUGGCGAAGGCGACUUUCUGGACUGUAACUGACGCUGAGGCACGAAAGCGUGGGGAGCGAACAGGAUUAGAUACCCCGGUAGUC
rnacentral:rRNA from 1 species